rnacentral:lncRNA from 1 species
GUAAGUUGAAAAGGAAGCUUAUUUAUAUUUUAUAUAAAUAUUAUAUUUGGAAGCUAAAAAUCCUCAAAUCUGAACAUACAGUAAUCAUUACUAGAGGCUGGGAGAGAUGACAGGGGGUAGAUAGAGGUUGGAUAACAGGUAUCAAAUCAAGGUCAGUUGGAAUAAGAUCAUAGUGUCACACAGCAUAGUGGAAAAAUUACACUCCACAAUAAUCUAUUAUGAUUUUCUGAGCAAAUAGAAGAGAGGAUUUCCAAGGCUUCAUCCUAACAUGACAAAGGAGGAUGAAUGUUACCUAUUCUGAUUUGAUCAGCACACAUUGUAUACAUGUCUAGAAAUGUUGCACUGUACUCUAUUAAUAUGUACAAUUAUAGUUAAUAAUAAUAUUUUUAAGUUUUGAAAAGUAAAUUAAACCAUAUAUCUAUAUCUAGCCAUUUAUCUACCUACCUAUAUAAAGAAAAGCACUUUACUGGACUUUAAGAUGGAAAGAAGGGAGCCAAGAAAUACAGGUAGUUUAUAGAGGUUGGAAAAUUCAAGGAAAUGCAUUCUCCAUUGGAAACUAUUGAAGGAAUGCAGCUCUGUGAACACCUUAUUCUCACCCAGUGAGACCAGUUUCAAACCUCUGGCCUCCAGAACUCUAAUAAAAUAGCUUUAUGUUGGUUAAGUCAUGAGUUUGCAGUGAUUUGUUUUAGCUGCAAUAGAAAACUAAUCUUGUGCCUUAUUUUAUAAGACCAUAGGGUAAUUAAUCUAUAGAGUCUAAUCUGAAAAGGAUUACUUCCUCAAUCUGCACUUCACUAAAAUAAUUCUUCUUCUUCACAGACAACCCUCAACUCUCUAUGAUUCACAGCAAUGAAAAUACAUGUUAGGCACCAAGGUUUCUAUAAUUCAGUUGCAAAAUAUACCAGUGUGCAUGUCAUCACAUGGCUCAGCUGGUGUGGCUGCGCUAUCCUGGGCUCUGUGCUUAGGGUUGGGCUCAGGAACUGAUGAAUCCUUCUGAAAGCAUGACUAGUCAUCGAUGGACCUAUUCAGUCUUUCAUUAGCACUGCCUAAGACAGGUCUGCAUUAAUCAAAGUUUGACACUGAUGCCAAUCUAUCAUGGAAUUUAGAAGAAAGGAAGCUGGGUUACCUUCUGCUGGUUGAUUAUGGCCAGGUUGAAGCAGCAUGGAAUCAGGAACCAAAAUCCAAUGGUGAAGGGGAAUUUUUCAGGUGGCAAUUUUUAUCCAAGAUAAUAAUUUUCAAUCAAGUGUUUGGUCACUGUAGAUCUUCUGAAAGUGACUUGUCAAGAAAAUUAUGACAGCAUUAAUAUCUUAGAGCUAAGUUUUCAUGAGCUUUACCCUUUAACAGCUGAUGAACUUAAGUGAGUUAGCUCCAUUCUCUGAGGCUGUGGAGAUGGCUUCUCUAUCAGGGAUCCUCUAAGAUCCUCACUGGCUGAUGACUAACAUUCAUGGAAACUUUACAAAGCACAUUCAUGUUGAUUAUUUUGUUUCCAUCAGGAGCCAUUAGACUAU